GACGAACGCUGGCGGCGUGCCUAAUACAUGCAAGUCGAACGAACCGCGACUAGGUGCUUGCACUUGGUCAAGGUGAGUGGCGAACGGGUGAGUAACACGUGGGUAACCUACCUCAUAGUGGGGGAUAACAGUCGGAAACGACUGCUAAUACCGCAUAGGACAUGGGAUCACAUGAUUCUGUGAGGAAAGGUGGCGCAAGCUAUCGCUAAGAGAUGGACCCGCGGUGCAUUAGCUAGUUGGUAGGGUAACGGCCUACCAAGGCGAUGAUGCAUAGCCGACCUGGGGGGGUGAUCGGCCACAUUGGGACUGGGGCACGGCCCAAACUCCUACGGGAGGCAGCAGUAGGGAAUCUUCCGCAAUGGACGCAAGUCUGACGGAGCAACGCCGCGUGAGUGAAGAAGGUCUUCGGAUCGUAAAGCUCUGUUGUUAGAGAAGAACAGCGCAUAGAGUAACUGUUAUGCGUGUGACGGUAUCUAACCAGAAAGCCACGGCUAACUACGUG
rnacentral:rRNA from 1 species